rnacentral:rRNA from 1 species
GACGAACGCUGGCGGCGUGCUUAACACAUGCAAGUCGAACGGAAAGGCCUGCUUUCCCUUGUGGAUUGCGGGUACUCGCGUGGCGAACGGGUGAGUAACACGUGAGUGAUCUGCCCCCAACUUGGGUAUAAGCCUGGGAAACUGGGUCUAAUUCCCGAUAGGACUGCAGGGUGGUGCCUGUGGUGGAAAACGAUUUUCUAGUGGUUGGGGAUGAGCUCGCGGCCUAUCAGCUUGUUGGUGGGGUAAUGGCCUACCAAGGCGGCGACGGGUAGCCGGCCUGGGGGGGUGGACGGCCACAUGUGGACUGAGAUACGGCCCAGACUCGUACGGGAGGCAGCAGUGGGGAAUAAUGCACGAUGGGCGGAAGCCUGAUGCAGCGACGCCGAGUGGGGGAUGACGGCCUUCGGGUUGUAAACUCCUUUCGACCGCGAGGAAGCCACCUGGAUGGAAGGGUGGUGACGGUAGUGGUAGAAGAAGCACCGGCUAACUACGUG